rnacentral:rRNA from 1 species
GAUGAACGCUGGCGGCGUGCUUAACACAUGCAAGUCGAACGGAAAGGCUCCUGCUUGCAGGGGUACUCGAGUGGCGAACGGGUGAGUAACACGUGGGUGAUCUGCCCUGCACUUCGGGAUAAGCCUGGGAAACUGGGUCGAUUACCGGAUAGAACAUUGUUUUGGAUGCCGUUUUGGAAAGUUUUUCGGUUUGGGUUGAGCUCGCGGCUUAUCAGCUUGUUGGUGGGGUAGUGGCCUACCAAGGCGCCGACGGGUAGCCGGCCUGAGAGGGUGUACGGCCACACUGGGACUGAGAGACGGCCCAGACUCCGACGGGAGGGAGCAGGGGGGAAGAUUGAACAAUGGGCGCAAGGCUGAUGCAGCGACGCCGCGGGGGGGAUGACGGCCUUCGGGUUGAAAAAUCCUUGCGCUAGGGACGAAGCGUUUUGUGACGGUACCUGGAGAAGAAGCACCGGCUAACUACGUG